GGAGGGAUGGCAGAGUGGUAAUGCAGCGGAUUGCUAAUCCGUCUACCCGAUAGGGUAGCGGGGGUUCGAGUCCCCCUCCCUCCGCCA
rnacentral:tRNA from 1 species